rnacentral:rRNA from 1 species
UACGUAGGGGGCAAGCGUUGUCCGGAUUUAUUGGGCGUAAAGAGCGUGUAGGCGGCCAGGUAGGUCUGCUGUGAAAACCCGAGGCUUAACCUCGAGAUGUCGGCGGAAACCCUCUGGCUAGAGUCCGGAAGAGGAGAGUGGAAUUCCUGGUGUAGCGGUGAAAUGCGCAGAUAUCAGGAAGAACACCCGUGGCGAAGGCGGCUCUCUGGGACGGUACUGACGCUGAGACGCGAAAGCGUGGGGAGCAAACAGG